rnacentral:rRNA from 1 species
UUCGCAAUGCCCGAAAGGGUGACGAAGCGACGCCGCGUGGGUGAGGAAGGCCCUCGGGUUGUAAAGCCCUGUCAGGAGUUAAGAAAUGUAAGUACGCUAAUAUCGUAUCUAUUUGACAAAGGCUCCAAAGGAAGCCACGGCUAACUCUGUGCCAGCAGCCGCGGUAAUACAGAGGUGGCAAGCGUUGUUCGGAAUUAUUGGGCGUAAAGAGCACGUAGGUGGAUUUGUAAGUCAGAUGUGAAAGCCUUCUGUUCAACGGGAGAAUUGCAUCUGAAACUACAAACCUUGAGUAUAGGAGGGGAGAAUGGAACUUCUGGUGGAGCGGUGAAAUGCGUAGAUAUCAGAAGGAACGCCGGCGGCGAAAGCGAUUCUCUGGCCUAUUACUGACACUCAGUGUGCGAAAGCUAGGGGAGCAAACGGGAUUAGAUACCCCGGUAGUCCUAGCCGUAAACGAUGGGCACUAAGUAGAGGGGUUUU